rnacentral:lncRNA from 1 species
CGGAAUAUGGUAUACCGGUGAGAUUUAUUUAAGGAUUUUUACCUUCUCAUGGUGAGUAAUUAUUGCAGGAAUUUUAGCACCACUGUAUACCAUAUCCCAACUAAUUUAACCCGGCACAACUUAUUUCAGCCCCCAAACGCCGCUCCCAUUUAUUUUCUCCAGCCGCUCCCUCUCCCUCCCUCUCCCUCCCUCUCCUACUCCCUGGCCGAUAACUUCGUCGAGGAGAGUUCGAGGCCCGCCAUUUCCCGAUCUCAACGAAACUCAUACGCCCAGUCGACCUUCGUUGCACGCCGAGAUCGCAGGUAACGAUUGAUUCCCGCGAUCGCCUCCCAAUCCUCAUCUUUUUCCAUGCGUUUUUCAAGCACGGGCUGAUGUUCAUGUGAUUCACCAUCGGCUUUGGAUUUCCCGAGAUCUCUCGAUUCCGACAGUUCUGCUUCUGUUGAUCGAUUGAUGUAUUGGUCUGGGGCCGUCUUAUGUUUCUUUAUGGAUUCAUUUUUCAUCUGGGUGAGGGUAAUAGAUCUAGGGUUUGGCGAUUUCGUUUCCUUAUGUUUCUUG